UGAUUUAGUGGACGUUGGGAUCCUGGAGACGGCUCAGCCCCCUGUGCUUGAGGAGGAGGUGAAUCUUCUUCGUAAGAAACUCUCGGGUGCACUCAGGGUUCGCUGAGGACUGGUGGUGACACCCGUGCCCUGUCCCCCUCCAGCGGAAUGAGGAGAUGAUCAUCCCUGGAAGAACCCCCUGAUUUCCCUCAGAGCCCAGGGCCAUUUCCCCUGAAUGAUCAAUAAAUCCCUUCAGCAAAGCUA